rnacentral:SRP_RNA from 1 species
GCCAGGCAUGGUGGCGCAUGCCUGUAAUCCCAGCUACUCAGGAGGCUGAGGCAGGAGAAUCGCUUGAACCCGGGAGGUGGAGGUUGCAGUGAGCCGAGAUCGCGCCACUGCACUGUAACUUGGGUGACAGAGUGAGACCCUGUCUCAC